GUUGGGUUGAGAAGGAAGCAGUCGCGGCUUUGGCCUUGGUGAGGGGGUGGGGUCAGGUUUCUCCGGAGGGGGCGUGUCUAGGACUUGCAGGAGCGGCCCCUGUCGCUGGAGACUGACUGCGGACCUGGGGGAUUUGGUGCCCCACAGUAUGCAGAAUCUUCCUUUUCCAAUCAGGGAAGGAACCUGUACCCCCUGGAGUGGAAGCAUGGAGUCUUAACCACUGGAUCACCAGGGAAGUCCCCACCAGCACAUUUAAUAUCUUCCAGGAAGAGUCUCCAGAGAAGGCAAUGGCACCCCACUCCAGUACUCUUGCCUGGAAAAUCCCAUGGAUGGAGGAGCCUGUACCUUCUGGAAAAGUCAUGAAGUGAGUCUCAAAACUGUCCACUGAAACCAAGAGUGGGAGAAGCAUUUAUCUGUCAGCUCCGGUCUACCUUAGAUCAAACGUUAAGGCCCCUAGCCAUUAACUACUCCACACUUCCCAAAUGCACAGUUGUGACUGCCAAGCUGACUGCCACAUCAGAGAAGUCCUGAGGCAGGAAGGAAGAGGAGAGGCGCUGCCACGUUGGACUUGCCCACAGUUCAUCGGACUGUUUAGAACAGGUUGCUGCAGCAGUGGUUGGAAUAAGAGGCUAAAGGAUUUGAAAUGGUGACAGAAGAUACACAGAUGGUGUCCAUCAGUCCAGUCUUUGUACCACUCAUAACUGCUUGGCUAUUUAAGUCUAGUCCUUUACAGUCCCCUUCAAGGUGAUGGAUACCGGCAAUCUCUGCAAAGACUUAAUAUAAGAGAGUUGAUGCAAUAAGCUUCAGUCCUUGCUGCUACACUGAUGCCAAGACUGUACUUGUUCUCUUGAGCUCCCCGCUCUACUCCCCAUCCUUACCUCCCUUCACCCUUGGCCAGCACAUCACCUGAUCUAGGUUGUUGGCUCAGUGAGGCAACUGGAACCUUCAGCUUUUGUUUCCCUCCCACUGAUUGGGCCGUGAUUGUGUGAUUGCCUGUUCAACUUAUCCCAAGAUAAGCCUCUGUUGAAUUCUUUGGAUUCUAGAUUUACCCUCCCUAUUGCUAUUGUUACAGCAACAAUCCCAGAUCCUUUGCUAAUCACAGUUGAUUACUCCCACCAAUGCAGUCACUCCUCCCUUUGCUGGCUGAACUACUAUCAUGAGAAACUCAAAGUGAGGGAGUUUCACGUUCAGUGAAGCCUCCUCCACCCAACCCCUCGUGCUUGUGUUGGUGUUCAAUUGCUAAGUCGUGUCCAAUGUUUUGUGACUCUUUUGCAAACUGUAGCCCACCAGGCUCCUCUGUUCGUGGGAUUUCCUUGGCAAGAAUACUAGAACAAGUUGCCAUUUCCUUCUCCAGGGGGUCUUACCAACCCAGGGAUCAAACCCAUGUCUCCUGCAUUGGCAGGAGAAUUCUUUACCACUGAGCCAGCAGGGAAGCCCCCACCCAACCCCUGGAGAGUUAAUUAUUAUAAUCCAGCAAAGCCUGGAUUUGAGAGGCAGGAAACACAAAUUCUGUGAGUCACUGGGAGUGAUGAUAAAAUGGGCUAAUCCUGCUCCCAUUCCGGGCUUUCCAGAGCUAUGUCUUUAGCUCUGUCUUUAUUGGUUGAUUGGAAGCAUUUACCACAUCAGAAGCUGGCUGCUUCUGAUUGAUGAGGGUAUGACCAUCUCGGUGGAGUCUAUGGUCAUGUGUGUAUUUUCACUUUUUGUUUUGGCUGUAAAAUAUAUUCCUCGGUUAGGGUAACAAUCAGGAAUGCUAUAAUUCUGGUGAUUGUCAAUGUUGGCAGAGUCACUUCAGGCAAGAAAGACAAACCUAGGAGUCUCUGGAUGUUUGUACAUCAGUCCAUGUCUCUCUAAAAACAUGCGAUGAAGAAUACUGCCCCAGGCUCUGCCAACUGGCAAGAUUUCCCUUCACCUUUGUUCUUUAAAGCCAUCCCUGAGUAGGACUUUGCACAGCCACAGUUCAGUUUUUCCUACACACCAACACAUCUGUGAACCACACUUAAGCUUUUUAUUCUGAGAUUGGUAGUUGUAGGGAGCCCCAGGAGGGCAGAGGAGUGAGUUGAGGAAGAGGUGCCACUGCUAUGGACAUUCCAUGGAAGUCUGAGUCACCCUUUCAUGUAAUUUACUUGUGUCUUCUGGACCUGUUCAGGCUCAGCCCUACACUGUUUAUAUUCUUCAACCAAUUGCUGCUGUACUCAUGCACUUAUGACUUAGUGGAUCUGAUAAAAUCCAGCUCAUGAUAGACAGCGCUAGUGUUCCCAGUGGAGAAUAGUUUUCUGGCUCAGGCAUGGCCUUGCAGAAUACUCAGGAUCUGUGCUGCAACUCUUUUACUGGGAACUUUCCAGAAAUUUCACACAGGGCUCUUAUCCAUCACAGAUCCCUCAAGUACCAUUAGAUCUGCAGGAACAAAUAGUCUGAACAUUAGGCAACGUGCAUCAUGGCCCUUCUGGGCAACAUAGCCAGCUGAUAGGUACUUUAGUUUUAUAAUAAGUUUGUUUCAACAUCCUUACUUCUGGGAAACAUAUUCUGGUGGUUCUUUUGUUUCACCUAAUAAAUUCAUUCUAACACUCCUGCUCCCCUGAGUCUUCUGAUUCCUUUCUCAAUAGUCAUUCAGAGUUGUUCUAACAUCUCAUUUAGCACAGGCCAUCAGCAUAGCCAAGCUUUAAGGAGGCAUGAAGCGUUUGUAUUAGGACUGAUUCCAGGUAUCCUUGUCAAACUUUAAAUCCAGAAUCAUAAGUAAAUGGCGCCAUGUCAUAAAUUCUUUGUUACCUAGCCUUACAACUUCAUUCCUAUGUUUUAACACUCUAAAUAUCUACUCCUGCAUAUAAUCCCCUGGUUUCUAUUGGUUAUGUUAGACAGUUUUGCAGUUCUUUAUCUAUAGGUCAGUGAUUCUCAAUGGGUGAUUUUGAUGCCAAGGAGACAUUUGGUACUGUCUAGAAACAUUUUUGAUUGUCAUUACUGAGAGAGUUCUAUUGACAUCGAAUGAGUAGAGGCCAGGGAUAUUGCUAAACACCUACAAUACACAGGACAGCCUCCGCAGCAAAGAAUUACCCAGCCCCAAAUGUCACUAGUACUGAGAUUGAAUAAUUCUGGUCUGAUUCCCCCUGGAGCAGGGAUUGCAAUCUCCAUGUAGAUUGGGCUGAGAUCUGACGCUGGUUACAGGUUUGAAGCAGUGGCAGUUGGGAGGAUAUUGGGGAAAAUAAGGUCAUAAAUAAGGCACUUGCCUCCGAUAUACUCUUUGCCGUAUUUCUGGACAAGGAGAGGCUGCUUUCCUUUAUCAAAAGAAAGACUGUUGACAGAGAGGAUGACAAAAAAAUCUGACCAUUUAAGAUUAUAAGACAUGGGCACACAAAUAUCCACAUUCUAGAUCUCAAGACUUCAUUGUUUUCCUACUAGGGCUGUAGUUUUGACGUGGGUGAUAUUUCAAGUCUGUGCAUUUAGACUGCUUUGCAGCCCUGCCACCCUUAUGAUUAUAUACUGAAGCUGAUUUUUAGCACAGUCUGCUCGGUGGUUACUGUGCCCUAGAGGCUUCUGGCUUUCACACUGGGCCAUGAUUUGAUUAUUGUUAGCCCUGUCAUUGCUAGUCCACAGUAUCAUUGCUUCCACAGUGCUCAAGUCCCAUAGCCACUGUGUAAUUCAGUGCUUCAUUUUCUGUCUGCUCUUCAUUCUAAUCUACUACAGUAAAGUCUUGAUAAUCAGCUUUGCUUCUACUGUAUGCAGGAGUUGUCACCACUUGCAAUUUAUCAACAACCACUUAACCACCAGCAGGGGUCCUUAUUGUCUUGUAAUCAGUGUUGUAAGAACUGCCUCCAAAAUCUCAUACUGAGGCUUUGCUUUUUGGAGUCACUUUUGAGGACCAGAGUUCCCCUGAAAGUGAAAGUGAAAGUCUCUCAGUCAUGUCUGACUCUUUGCAACCCCAUGGACUA